UACGUACUUCCUCCAUCCGAAAAUACUUGUCAUCAAGAUGAAUAAAAGGGGAUGUAUCUAAAUGUAUUUUAGUUUUAAAUAUAUCUUUUUUAUCUAUUUUGAUGACAAAUAUUUCCGGACGGAGGAAGUACAUC
rfam:Triticum aestivum genome assembly, contig: Triticum_aestivum_CS42_TGACv1_scaffold_392949_5AS